AAACUUACCGGGCUGGGGGGCUCUCGCGAUCAAGAAGGCGGGACCCCCAUGGUGAG
rnacentral:snRNA from 14 species